GCAAGAGUUGGAUCUCUUUUGUAUAACAACAAAGGAUAUAAACACAUUUCAUUGAUUCCCAAUAAGUUUCAUUCAAAAAGUAUAUGACCAUUAGACUUAGCUUACUAAAACAAAAUUAAAAGCCAGCAACUUUUCCAAAUACAAACUGACACAUUAUUGGAAAAUAACAAAAUAUUAAAACAGGACACAAAAUCAUGAAGAAUCUCAUAAACAUGUCUAAUUCCUCAAACAACUGCAAACACCAUCAUAUCAACGACGAAUCACACAAAAGAAGAGAGUCAGAUUCAUUCCCACUCCUGGAGCACCAACCACCACACACGCACCUUCCUUAAUCCUUCGAGCCUGCACCAAUCGUUCCCAUCCACCACCAAUCUUGAAGUCUGCAUAAGGAGUCUCCGAAAACUGGAGACUGCAGUUCCAUACGUUGCCAUUUUCAUCAACCAAAUCA
rnacentral:lncRNA from 1 species